rnacentral:rRNA from 1 species
GGGCAGGGUGAGUCGACCCCUAAGGCGAGGCCGAAAGGCGUAGUCGAUGGGAAACGGGUUAAUAUUCCCGUACUUGGUGUUACUGCGAAGGGGGGACGGAGAAGGCUAUGUUGGCCGGGCGACGGUUGUCCCGGUUUAAGCGUGUAGGUGUGUGUUCCAGGUAAAUCCGGUUCACUUUAACACUGAGGCGUGACGACGAGGCACUACGGUGCUGAAGCAACAAAUGCCCUGCUUCCAGGAAAAGCCUCUAAGCAUCAGGUAACAUCAAAUCGUACCCCAAACCGACACAGGUGGUCAGGUAGAGAAUACCAAGGCGCUUGAGAGAACUCGGGUGAAGGAACUAGGCAAAAUGGUGCCGUAACUUCGGGAGAAGGCACGCUGACACGUAGGUGAAGUGAUUUACUCAUGGAGCUGAAGUCAGUCGAAGAUACCAGCUGGCUGCAACUGUUUAUUAAAAACACAGCACUGUGCAAACACGAAAGUGGACGUAUACGGUGUGACGCCUGCCCGGUGCCGGAAGGUUAAUUGAUGGGGUCAGCGCAAGCGAAGCUCCUGAUCGAAGCCCCGGUAAACGGCGGCCGUAACUAUAACGGUCCUAAGGUAGCGAAAUUCCUUGUCGGGUAAGUUCCGACCUGCACGAAUGGCGUAAUGAUGGCCAGGCUGUCUCCACCCGAGACUCAGUGAAAUUGAACUCGCUGUGAAGAUGCAGUGUACCCGCGGCAAGACGGAAAGACCCCGUGAACCUUUACUAUAGCUUGACACUGAACAUUGAGCCUUGAUGUGUAGGAUAGGUGGGAGGCUUUGAAGUGUGGACGCCAGUCUGCAUGGAGCCGACCUUGAAAUACCACCCUUUAAUGUUUGAUGUUCUAACGUGGACCCGUUACCCGGGUUGCGGACAGUGUCUGGUGGGUAGUUUGACUGGGGCGGUCUCCUCCUAAAGAGUAACGGAGGAGCACGAAGGUUGGCUAAUCCUGGUCGGACAUCAGGAGGUUAGUGCAAUGGCAUAAGCCAGCUUGACUGCGAGCGUGACGGCGCGAGCAGGUGCGAAAGCAGGUCAUAGUGAUCCGGUGGUUCUGAAUGGAAGGGCCAUCGCUCAACGGAUAAAAGGUACUCCGGGGAUAACAGGCUGAUACCGCCCAAGAGUUCAUAUCGACGGCGGUGUUUGGCACCUCGAUGUCGGCUCAUCACAUCCUGGGGCUGAAGUAGGUCCCAAGGGUAUGGCUGUUCGCCAUUUAAAGUGGUACGCGAGCUGGGUUUAGAACGUCGUGAGACAGUUCGGUCCCUAUCUGCCGUGGGCGCUGGAGAACUGAGGGGGGCUGCUCCUAGUACGAGAGGACCGGAGUGGACGCAUCACUGGUGUUCGGGUUGUCAUGCCAAUGGCACUGCCCGGUAGCUAAAUGCGGAAGAGAUAAGUGCUGAAAGCAUCUAAGCACGAAACUUGCCCCGA